AAUACAGAAUGAACGCCCUUCUGACCUUCAGGUGAACAGAUGUGAUCCCCGAGGAUGUCAGACGGACGGAAGGGUAUGACGGCCAUCAUCGACCGCAAACAACACGAGGCCUCCGGUUGUCUCCUCACCUUCGUCUUGUCUUUCACGUGCAAAAACUAAAAUUAGAUACGACACCCUCAUCCGUGUGCUCCGUGAUUUGAACUCUCCCAAAAUGGCCAUCGGAGAUUGGCACAUAUUUGAAGGUGGUUAGGGAAUUCAGAGUACCGGGUCCAACCACAGACUACACAAGAUGCUCGCCUUUUCAACUCUCAGCCAGUCUCCCGCGCCAUCUUUUAGUGCAUAGCAGGCGGCAAAGCUAAAGACGUCCAAAGCUCAAUCAUUGGAGCCAUGAACUAAACAUAGAGGACACGUUGAUCACAAUAGUCAUUGCAUACAUUGUACAGUAAUUUGUAUAAUAAAAAGAUGAAAUUUGUAUAAAUUUUA